GGGGGGGCGCCGGGAGGGGGGAGAGAAAAGAAAAGAGGAUCUCUAUUUCCCCGCGCCGGCCACCGAAACGGGAGGACUGCAAGCCCUGGAGCCGCUGCUGCUGCCAGAAGAAAAGGUGCCUGUGGAAGCUCCCGCAGCCAAGAGGGACCUCGCCGGUGAUCCCCAUCCUUCCAUGGAGUAGCUCUGCAAAGUGCUGUUUAGCGCUGGGGUACGAGACCUGAACUCUGUCUCUGCUUCGCCUGGCUUCCCUUUCUCAGCCCCUGAGGUGCAGGACGUGCGAGCAAACCCCACUUGGGUUCCAGGGAGGGAGGCAGG